NNNNNNNNNNNNNNNNNNNNNNNNNNNNNNNNNNNNNNNNNNNNNNNNNNNNNNNNNNNNNNNNNNACCCGGUGUCCCCACUCCCACCCCAGUGUCACCGUGCCCCAUCCCGGUGUCACCCGGUGUCACUGCCAUGUCACCCAGUGCCACCCCACCACGUCCUGGCGUCACCCUGACGUCACCUCAUUGUCCCCGCUCCCACCCCAGUGUCACCCUGCCCUGUCCUGGUGUCACCUGGUGUCACCACCAUGUCACCCAGUGUCACCCCACCACGUCCUGGCGUCACCCUGAUGUCACCUUGGUGUCCCCCCUCCCACCCUGGUGUCCCCCUGCCCUGUCCCAGUGUCACCUGGUGUCAUCACCAUGUCACCCAAUGUCACCCCACCAUGUCCUGGUGUCACCUGAUGUCACCCCAGUGUCACCUGAUGUCACCCGGUGUCCCCCCUCCCACCCCGGUGUCACCCUGCCCCAUCCCGGUGUCACCCGGUGUCACCGCCAUGUCACCCAGUGCCACCCCAUCACGUCCUGGCGUCACCCUGAUGUCACCCCAGUGUCACCCUCCCAUCCCGUUGUCCCCCCUCCUGUCCCAGUGUCCCCCUGUCCUGGUGUCACCCGGUGUCACCACCAUGUCACCCAAUGUCAUCCCACCAUGUCCUGGCGUCACCUGAUGUCACCCCAGUGUCACCCUGAUGUCACCCGGUGUCCCCCCUCCCACCCUGGUGUCACCCUGCCCUGUCCUGGUGUCACCCGGUGUCACCGCCAUGUCACCCAGCGCCACCCCACCACGUCCUGGUGUCACCCUGACGUCACCUCAGUGUCCCCGCUCCCACCCCAGUGUCACCCUGCCCUGUCCUGGUGUCACCCGGUGUCACCGCCAUGUCACCCAGUGCCACCCCACCACGUCCUGGUGUCACCUUAUAUCACCCCAGUGUCACCCUGAUGUCACCUCAGUGUCCCCCUCCCAUCCCAGUGUCCCCCCUCCUGUCCCGGUGUCACCCUGCCCUGUCCCAGUGUCACCUGGUGUCACCACCAUGUCACCCAGUGUCACCCCACCAUGUCCUGGCGUCACCCUGAUGUCACCCCAGUGUCACCCUGAUGUCACCUCGGUGUCCCCCUCCCACCCUGGUGUCACCCUGCCCUGUCCCGGUGUCACCGCCACGUCACCCAGUGCCACCCCACCAUGUCCUGGUGUCACCCUGAUGUCACCCCAGUGUCACCUGAUGUCACCCGGUGUCCCCCCUCCCACCCUGGUGUCACCCUGCCCUGUCCCAGUGUCAUCCAGUGUCACCCUGACGUCACCUCAUUGUCCCCGCUCCCACCCCGGUGUCACCCUGCCCUGUCCCGGUGUCACCCGCUGUCACCGCCAUGUCACCCAGCGUCACCCCACCACGUCCCGGCGUCACCCUGACGUCACCUCGGUGCCACCCCGAUGUCACACGAUGACCACGUCCCCCCGUCACCUCGGUGUCACCCCCUCCCACGGCGAUGUCCCCCUGUGCCCACACUCCCCCCGCCGCAGGGCCACCCCCGCUGUCACCCCCCGUCACGUGGUCACACUCCGGUGUCACCCUCUCCGGUGCCGGUGUCACCCCAAUGUCACCCUGCUGCCACCGCUCUGUCCUGCUGUCACCCGGUCCCACCCUGGUGUCACCCCGCUGUCACCCCACCCCAUCCCAGCAUCAGCCCAGUCCCAUCUCACUGUCACCUUCGUGUCACCUUCGUGUCACCCCAGUGUCACCCCGCUGUCACCCCGGUGUCACCUUUUCCUCUUCGUUUCACCCCCCCCUCCGCCUCCCGUUGUCACCCUGUCACCGUCCCCUCCCGCUGUCACCGUCUCGUCACCCUGUCCCGUCACGCUGUCACCCCAAUGUCACCCCAACGUCACCCUCCCUCCCCUCACUGUCCCCCCACCCUGUCCCUCUGCUGUCACCCUGUUGUCACCCCACUGUCACCGUCCCAUCCCCUUGUUCCCCCCGCUGUCACCCCGCUGUCACUGCCCCGCGCUGUUGUCACCCUGCUGCACCCCUGCUGUCACCCCACAGUGCUGCCCUGUCCCCUCUCCCUGUCACCCCCUUGUCACCCCGAUGUCACUCCACUGCCACCACAGUGUCACCUCGAUCUGUCCCAGUUCCAAGCUGUUGUCCCCCACUGUCACCUCGGUGGCACUGUGUCCCCUCCCUGUCACCCCGCUGUCACGUUGUCCCCCCGCUGUCCCCAUGU
rnacentral:lncRNA from 1 species